GGGCCAGACUCCUACGGGAGGCAGCAGUGAGGAAUAUUGGUCAAUGGCCGAGAGGCUGAACCAGCCAAGUCGCGUGAGGGAAGACGGCCCUACGGGUUGUAAACCUCUUUUGUCGGGGAGCAAAGCGAGUCACGUGUGACUCAUUGAGAGUACCCGAAGAAAAAGCAUCGGCUAACUCCGUGCCAGCAGCCGCGGUAAUACGGAGGAUGCGAGCGUUAUCCGGAUUUAUUGGGUUUAAAGGGUGCGUAGGCGGUCAGAUAAGUUAGAGGUGAAAUCCCGAGGCUCAACUUCGGAAUUGCCUCUGAUACUGUUGAUCUAGAGAGUAGAUGCGGUAGGCGGAAUGUAUGGUGUAGCGGUGAAAUGCUUAGAGAUCAUACAGAACACCGAUUGCGAAGGCAGCUUACCAAUCUAUAUCUGACGUUGAGGCACGAAAGCGUGGGGAGCAAACAGGAUUAGAUACCCCAGUA
rnacentral:rRNA from 1 species